rnacentral:lncRNA from 1 species
CUUGUUCGAUAGAAUGACAAAAAGUACUUGUUGCUAAGUUAUACUGUUAUGGUGCAACUGAGUAGUCAAAUGUUGUUCUGUUUUUGGUUCUUUUGAACGUUGAUAUCGAUUCGUUCCAAAUUUACACUCUCGGGGCAUAAUAGAAGAAUAUAAUUAGGUUUUGCUCUUUGUUCAAUUGAAUGAGAAAAAGUACUAGUUGCGAAGUUAUACUGUUAGGGCUCAACUGAGUAGUCUAACUUUGUUCCGGUUUUAGUUCUUCUGAACGUUCACAUCGAUUCGUUCCAAAUUUACACUCUCGGGGCAUAAUAGAAGAAUAUAAUUAGGUUUUGCUCUUUGUUCGAUUGAAUGAGAAAACGUACUAGUUGCAAAGUUAUACUGUUACGGCGCAACUGAGUAGUCUAAUUUUGUUCCGGUUUUGGUUAUUUUGAUCGAUUACAUUGAUUCGUUCCAAAUUUACACUCUCGGGGCAUAAUAGAAAGUUUUUACUCCUAGUUCGAUAGAAUGAGAAAAAGAACUCGUAACUAAGCUAUACUGUUAUGGCGCAACUGAGUAGUCUAAUGUUGUUUCGGUUUUGGUUCUUGUGAACGUUGACAUCGAUUCGUUCCAAAUUUACUCUCUCGGGGCAUAAUAGAAGAAUAUAAUUAGGUUUUGCUCUUUGUUCGAUUGAAUGAGAAAAAGUACUAGUUGCAAAGUUAUACUGUUAGGGCUCAACUGAGUAGUCUAACUUUGUUCCUGUUUUGGUUCUUGUGAACGUUUACAUCGAUUCGUUCCAAAUUUACACUCUCGGGCAUAAUAGAAAACUUUUACUCCUUGUUCAAAAGAAUAAGAAAAAGUACUCGUUGCUAAGUUAUACUGUUAUGGCGCAACUGAGUAGUCUAACGUAGUUUCGGUUUUGGUUCUUGUGAACGUUGACAUCGAUUCGUUCCAAAUUUACACUCUCGGGGCAUAAUAGAAAGCUUUUACUCCUUAUUCGAUAGAAUGAGAAAAAGUACUCGUUGCAAAGUUAUACUGUUAUGGCACAACUGAGAAGUUUAAUAUUGUUCCGGUUUUGGUUCCUGUAAACGUUGUCAUCGAUUCGUUCCAAAUUUACACUCCCGGUGCAUAAUAGAACAAUAAAAUUAGGUUUUGCUCUUUGUUCGAUUGAAUGAGAAAAAGUACUUCUUGAAAAGUUAUACUGUUAGGGCUCAACUAAGUAGUCUAACUUUGUUCCGUUUUUUGUUCUUGUGAACGUUUACAUCGAUUCGUUCCAAAUUUACACUCUCGGGGCAUAAGAGAACACUAUAAUUAGGUUUUGCUCUUUGUUCGAUUGAAUGAGAAAAAGUACUAGUUGCAAAGUUAUACUGUUAGGGCUCAACUGAGUAGUCUAAUUUUGUUCCGGUUUUGGUUCUUGUGAACGUUUACAUCGAUUCGUUCCAAAUUUACACUCUCGGGGCAUA